rnacentral:rRNA from 1 species
AGCGAACGCUGGCGGCAGGCUUAACACAUGCAAGUCGAGCGGGCCCUUCGGGGUCAGCGGCGGACGGGUGAGUAACGCGUGGGAACGUGCCUUCUGGUCUGGAAUAACCCCGGGAAACUAGGGCUAAUACCGGAUACGCCCUUUUGGGGAAAGGUUUACUGCCGGAAGAUCGGCCCGCGUCUGAUUAGCUAGUUGGUGGGGUAACGGCCUACCAAGGCGACGAUCAGUAGCUGGUCUGAGAGGAUGAUCAGCCACACUGGGACUGAGACACGGCCCAGACUCCUACGGGAGGCAGCAGUGGGGAAUAUUGGACAAUGGGCGCAAGCCUGAUCCAGCCAUGCCGCGUGAGUGAUGAAGGCCUUAGGGUUGUAAAGCUCUUUUAUCCGGGACGAUAAUGACGGUACCGGAGGAAUAAGCCCCGGCUAACUUCGUG